rnacentral:rRNA from 1 species
UCUCGAUGGUAGUGUAUUGGACUACCAUGGCGGUCACGGGUAACGGGGAAUUAGGGUUCUAUUCCGGAGAGGGAGCCUGAGAAACGGCUACCACAUCUAAGGAAGGCAGCAGGCGCGUAAAUUACCCAAUCCUGAUUCAGGGAGGUAGUGACAAGAAAUAACAACUCGGGGGCUCACGCCUUACGAGAUUGAAAUGAGAACAAUCUAAACCCCUUAUCGAGGAACAAUUGGAGGGCAAGUCUGGUGCCAGCAGCCGCGGUAAUUCCAGCUCCAAUAGCGUAUAUUAAAGUUGUUGCAGUUAAAAAGCUCGUAGUUGAAUUUCUGGCUUUUUCUUUCUUGGCACCUGUCGAGGAAGAGAAGGUCAUCCGCCAGAGAACUAUAGUCGUCCUUUAGUGGUCGAUAUAGGGAUCUGGCAAUUUACUUUGAAAAAAUUAGAGUGUUCAAGGCAGGCCAUUGCCAUGAAUACACAAGCAUGGAAUAAUGGAAUAGGACUAUGGUUCAUUUUGUUGGUUAUUGAACCUUAGUAAUGAUUAAUAGGGACAGUUGGGGGCAUUAGUAUUUAAUUGUCAGAGGUGAAAUUCUUGGAUUUAUUAAAGACUAACUUAUGCGAAAGCAUUUGCCAAGGAUGUUUUCAUUAAUCAAGAACGAAAGUUAGGGGAUCAAAGACGAUCAGAUACCGUC